rnacentral:pre_miRNA from 1 species
AUAUGAUGAUGAUGAUGAUGAUGAUGAUGAUGACGAUGCUGAUUUCUCAUCAAGUAUAAGAGGAUACGCAUCACCGCCACCAUCAUCAUCAUCAUCAUCAUUAUCAUUAUCA